UAGGGAAUCUUCCACAAUGGACGCAAGCCUGAUGGAGCAACGCCGCGUGAGUGAAGAAGGUUUUCGGAUCGUAAAGCUCUGUUGUAAGAGAAGAACGUGUGUGAGAGUGGAAAGUUCACACAGUGACGGUAACUUACCAGAAAGGGACGGCUAACUACGUACCAG
rnacentral:rRNA from 1 species